rnacentral:rRNA from 1 species
CGCGAACGCUGGCGGCAGGCUUAACACAUGCAAGUCGAGCGGGCGUAGCAAUACGUCAGCGGCAGACGGGUGAGUAACGCGUGGGAACGUACCUUUUGGUUCGGAACAACACAGGGAAACUUGUGCUAAUACCGGAUAAGCCCUUACGGGGAAAGAUUUAUCGCCGAAAGAUCGGCCCGCGUCUGAUUAGCUAGUUGGUGAGGUAACGGCUCACCAAGGCGACGAUCAGUAGCUGGCUGAGAGGAUGAUCAGCCACAUUGGGACUGAGACACGGCCCAAACUCCUACGGGAGGCAGCAGUGGGGAAUAUUGGACAAUGGGCGCAAGCCUGAUCCAGCCAUGCCGCGUGAGUGAUGAAGGCCCUAGGGUUGUAAAGCACUUUCGACGGGGACGGAUGAUGACGGGUACCCGUACGAAGAAGCCCCGGCCUAACUUCGUGCCAGCAGCCGCUGU